rnacentral:rRNA from 1 species
GAUGAACGCUGGCGGCGUGCCUAAUACAUGCAAGUCGAGCGAACAGACGAGGAGCUUGCUCCUCUGACGUUAGCGGCGGACGGGUGAGUAACACGUGGAUAACCUACCUAUAAGACUGGGAUAACUUCGGGAAACCGGAGCUAAUACCGGAUAACAUGUUGAACCGCAUGGUUCAACAGUGAAAGACGGUUUUGCUGUCACUUAUAGAUGGAUCCGCGUCGCAUUAGCUAGUUGGUAAGGUAACGGCUUACCAAGGCAACGAUGCGUAGCCGACCUGAGAGGGUGAUCGGCCACACUGGAACUGAGACACGGUCCAGACUCCUACGGGAGGCAGCAGUAGGGAAUCUUCCACAAUGGGCGAAAGCCUGACGGAGCAACGCCGCGUGAGUGAAGAAGGUCUUCGGAUCGUAAAACUCUGUUAUUAGGGAAGAACAAAUGUGUAAGUAACUAUGCACGUCUUGACGGUACCUAAUCAGAAAGCCACGGCUAACUACGUG